AACUUAGAAAUUUAUUGUAAUAUUUUUUCAUCUAUUUUCAAAGAGGAACCCCGAAUAAACUUGGUGAUUAGGAAUCUACAGUAAACUUUUUAUUUGUUUUAGUAUAACUGAUAGUUAAUUCACCAGUGCUUCCGGAUACAUUAAAACGAGUGUCGGGAAAGGUCAGGAUCUUUACUUUCAACAAAUAUGGGUGCUCAGAGAAGGCUUAUGAGCCUGCAACUUUUGUAUGGAAUGAUGAGAUACUGGUUUUUGGGCCAAAAGUAAUGGGUAAGAGAGAGGGACAGAGAAGUUUUUAUGGGAGUAUUAGCUAUGAAAUCCUGGAGUCACCACCAGAUGAAUCCCAGUAGGAGGAUUUCCUAAUUCUGUUCUCACUGAUCAGCAGUCAAAGUCAAAGUUUCGAAAGCUGUUGGAUAGCGUUGUAAUCUUGAUCAUAAAUGAUUUCACCUGGACAUCUUAGUUUGCUCUAUAAUUUUCUUCGCGGGCUGUGCUAGGUAAACUCUCAAGUCUUUGGACCCCAAAGGGAGUAUUAUCAAGUACUGGAACUUAGAGUAGUUGAUUAAAAGUUACCACCAAGAGCGGAGCUCAAGGUUCAAUUCAAUAAUAUACAGGGAAACUCAUCCUGUUCGGAUACUGUGAGGAUUAACAACCUGAUGGCUCUAUCCUUUUCUCGACUGAUGGAAGCUGAGAACCUACAAAGUCUCAGGAACAAAUUCAGUGU
rnacentral:ncRNA from 1 species